rnacentral:rRNA from 1 species
GAUGAACGCUGGCGGCGUGCCUAAUACAUGCAAGUCGAGCGAACAGACGAGGAGCUUGCUCCUCUGACGUUGGCGGCGGGCGUAAGAGUAACACGUGGAUCACCUACCUAUAGGACUGGGAUGACUUAGGGAAACCGGAGCUAAUACCGGAUAAUAUAUUCAACCGGAUGGUUGAAUAGUGAAAUACGGUAUUGAUGUCACUUAGAGAUGGAUGCGCGGCGCUUCAGCUAUUUGGUAAGGUGACGGCCUACCAAGGCAACGAUGGGUAGCCGACCGGAGAGGGCGACCGGCCAAACUGGGACUGAGACACGGCCCAGACUCCUACGGGAGGCAGCAGUGGGGAAUAUUGCGCAAUGGGCGGAAGCCUGACGCAGCGACGCCGCGUGGGGGAUGACGGCCUUCGGAGAGUAAACCUCUUUCGACCCCGACGAAUUUGGACGGUAGGGGUAGAAGAAGCACCGGCCAACUACGUG